GACGAACGCUGGCGGCGUGCUUAACAAAUGCAAGUCGAACGAGGACAUAUGCUUCGGUAUAUAUCCGAGUGGCGGACUGGUGAGUAACACGUGAGUAACCAACCUUAUACAGGGGGAUAACUGAGAGAAAUCUUAGCUAAUACCGCAUAGAACAGGAAAGUCGCAUGACAGAAGAGUUAAAGGAGAAAUCCGGUAUAAGACGGACUCGCGCAUCAUUAGCUAGUUGGUGAGGUAACGGCCCACCAAGGCAACGAUGAUUAGCCGGCCUGAGAGGGUGAACGGCCACAUUGGGACUGAGAUACGGCCCAG
rnacentral:rRNA from 1 species